rnacentral:tRNA from 1 species
GCGCCAGUAGCUCAGUGGAUAGAGCGACGGCCUCCGGAGCCGUAGGUCAGAGGUUCAAGUCCUCUCUGGCGUA